AUAGGAACUGGUUCAUUAGUUGGGCGGUGACUGAAAGCGAAGAAACUAGGCAGCUCUUCCUUUCUCUCUUUCUUUCAAUCUCUACAAAACAGAACUGAAGAAGUGGAACUAGAUGUGAGGAGAGGAAGUUGAUUAACUCCAUCAGCUGCUAAACAUAAACAAACAAACGAACGCAAGGAACGGGAGAGAUAGCUGGAGUAGGACUUGAGGAACUGAAUCAGAAAUGUGAGCGGUCUGCAACAUCGAAACUUAGGAGGACAAGGUAUGAAUCUGCAAUAAUCUCCUGCUUAUUCGGUAUAAAUGGAUUAAUAUACGAGCUGCAUGUGAAUUUAGCAAAGAAAAUGGGUCCUUAGCUAAGGUGAAACUCUGCUUUGAAGGAGAUAAAACUGUUGGACAGAUUUGGAGGGAAUUAGGAGCUGAUGUUUGGAUUUCAACCUAUAAAUGAUGAAAAUUUAUGUAGUAACCUCUUAAUCAUCUAGUAUAUAUUUGAAUACGCAUGUUGUGUACUGGAUUCAAGCCAAGAAAACCGAGUUUUGUUGCAGAGAUGAAGGGAAUAGAGCAAGGAAACCUGAUGCAUGCUGCUAUGCAUCAGAUUUGUAGUUAGGUGCAGAUAUGAGUCUUAAUUCAGUUUUUCUCUUGAAUUCUGGUCAUAAACUGCCGUGUUUGCUUAGGAUAACCUGUAGUCGAGUAAGUAACCUCUGCGUGAGUGGGUGAGACCUAAAACUGAAGAGGAAAUGGUGGGAAAAUGUCAAAGGAUAAACUACUGUUUUGCUGGAAAUUUAUUGGUUGCAACCGAGUGUGGGAAAUGAAGAAGUUCUAGCUAUUCUUAUGAAUGUUGGUCUUGAAAUUUUAUAUUAAACUGUAAUAUAUUUUAUAAUACAUUGGUCUUAACAUGCAUGUAAGAUUUAAGUCUAAAAUGAGGAGUUUAUUGGUGAAUUUUCGUGUCUUAAAGGCUGAUUGCUGCUAAGGCUUUUCCAAUGGCCGAGAGAGAACAGAGUCUUGAUCAGUCCUUGUUUCGAGUUUAGCUGCAAACUUUACACGUUCUAUUUAAGGCUACUCUGUAGCUUCGUAAAUGUGUUUUGCUUGUCUAGUUGGGGCAUGAAAAUGAAAGGAAAGACUGGAGAAAACAACAAAUGUUGGACUGAUACACUGCUAGGAAGUUGAGGGAUGCGAUAGCUAAUUACUAAUGCAGGUGAUGAUGACCGAUUUGUGAUCUAACAUUUAAUCGAAUAAAUUACUGAAACAUGGUGUUAUCUGUUCUGGCUUAUACUGGACUGAAAGUACGUUAAAGUAUUUAGAGCCGUAAGCAAGUAAAGAAAUGAAGUUUUGUUGAAAAUCUGAAAUAUAUUGCUGGAAUUUUGAUUUGAUGGCUGAAAUGGUAGUUAGUUAAGCCCUUUUAUGGUAUUUUUGGAAACUGUAAGGUAACUUGUUAUAGGUAUAUACAUAAGAUGGCUUCUAAUCACUUAAUCUUGUUUUCACAAGCAUUUUCUAGACUAUAAACAUGACAAUAAUCUUAAUCUCAGAAUAUUGAAUACAAGACUAUAAACUUGAAAAAUAAGUAUAUUUCUUUGGUUAAAAUGAUAAAGUUGUUAAGUUUCGAGAUAAAAUGUAAGAUGGGCGUUGGAUAUGUUAUAUCUUGUAUUUAAAACCAAAACUCGACUUUAAUAGUUUAAAACAUAAGACAACAAAUGACAAGUGAUUAUCUACGAACUGUAUCUUCAUUUUAGAGUUAUAAAUUUAUCUCAGGGGGUAGCUGUGAGCCAGAAAGCAAACCUGAGGCUUGAGAGUAAUUUAUUUGGGUAUUUGGUGAGUGUUUCCGAAUUUAUGUGUUUAACUGUUUAUGUGUACUUAAGUGAAAUUAUGUGACAAAUAUGUGUAUUAUGAAAUAUUGCUAAGUGAUUCAUUGUAAAGUGUAUCUCAAUUGUCCCUCACCUUCUAAGUCGAGGGUGUACUUUAUCGCACUCGACUUAGUUUGAGCUUGAAGGUAUUAAGCUAAGAAACUAUUAUUCUCUCUCUUAUGUUACAUUUUAUUGGAUAGAUGACUUGAAUCUUGAAUUAUAUUGGAUGAUACUCUAGUUUUGGUGAACAUUAACGAAUUUCAGCAAGGGUUAGAACUGGAACUGCAUAUUCGUUCAUGAUAAAGAACAAAUCAAUUCUUGUUCAAAACAUGAAAGUUUUAGAGAAUUGAGUUAGCUAGUUUCCUGCAAAAUGUCAGCCCAAUCUGAUCAGUGUAGCCUGAGUUAUGAUCAAAACACUAAUAGCUAUGCAAAAUGUUGGAUUUUGUGACGAUUGUAGUUUUUGCUUCUGACAGUGCUCAGUUCACCUUGAUAACGUGAGAAUUGGGUGUUUAAAUCUUCAUAAGACUUGUAGAUCUUUGUUUCACCGUCGAAUCAGUAUAAAAUGCGUCCAAAUCCGAGUUCGGUAGCUCCAGUUAUGCCCAAAACAAUGUAAGGUGCCAGAGCUGCCGUUGAAUCAGUCAGUUCUGUGCACGAACUUUGGACCCAUUUUUCCCCAUGCUCUGUAUUGAUUCAGCUUUUGGUCCAAACACAAAAGUUAUAGCGUUAUAAAUGAGCUUUUCAACACCUCUGGAAUUUCUUGAUUCCGAUCUCUGAGUCAUGAGUUGUGGUCAUUCAAAUAGGGUCUGUUUGGUACCCUGAAUUGAAACGGUUGGGACUGUCUUGUGCAUUUUUGCCCUAGUUUCGUUGAGAUCUGGUUUGAGGUAUUUUCAUAAAAGUUAUAGCCCUUCUUCUUAGCUUCGUAAUGGUACUUCAUAGACCUUAAUCUGACUUUCCUAACCCAACUUAUGGUCAAAACAGUUUGGGACAGCAACUAUGCCCGUUUCCGUUUCCGUAAGCCGUUUCCGCGCAUGCAUAUGCCAAUUUUGCCGUUUUACUUGAUUUAUGCAUUCUAGUAGCCGUUUGUGGAAUAAUGUGGUACAGUCUUCUAUUUCAGAUGGUGGUGAGUUAGACGGAGCCAGUGGGGCCUACUAGCUAUUACACGUGACGUGAUCUCCGCUCUUU
rnacentral:lncRNA from 1 species